rnacentral:rRNA from 1 species
AACGGAUUAGAACAGUUAGUGGCGAACGGGUGAGUAACACGUAGGUAAUCUACCUUUGGGACGGGAACAACCCCGCGAAAGCGGGGCUAAUGCCCGAUAAGACCACGACUGGGGACGGUUGUGGCCAAAGGCGGGGUGGUAACAUCUCGCGCCUGAAGAUGAGCCUGCGUCCUAUCAGCUUGCUGGUGAGGUAAAAGCUCACCAAGGCGAAGACGGGUAGCCGGCCUGAGAGGGUGAACGGCCACACUGGGACUGAGACACGGCCCAGACUCC